rnacentral:rRNA from 1 species
UAAUACGAACUGUGCGAACGUUAUUCGGAAUCACUGGGCUUAAAGGGUGCGUAGGCGGCGGCACAAGUCAGGUGUGAAAUCCCCCGGCUCAACCGGGGAACAGCGCUUGAAACUAGGUCGCUCGAGUGAGGCAGGGGUGCAUGGAACUUCCGGUGGAGCGGUGAAAUGUGUAGAUAUCGGAAGGAACGCCGGCGGCGAAAGCGGUGCACUGGGCCUUGUCUGACGCUGAGGCACGAAAGCUAGGGGAGUGAACGGGAUUAGAUACCCCGGUAAUCCUAGCCGUAAACACUGAGCACUGGAGGAGAGGGGCUUCGGCCUUUCUCCUCGCAGCGAAAGCGUUAAGUGCUCCGCCUGGGGAGUAUGGUCGCAAGGCUG